GAGGACAGAGGGAAGGGAAGGAAGGAGGAAGGAAGAGCUUUACUGUGUGCCCAGCGGAAUUUAGGCGCUCUCACCCUAGGUAGGUGGCAACUGGAGUCUGGGAGUUCAAGUGCAUCCAGCCUUCCCUUCCCCCACACGCCCCAAGAGAAUGGGAAGUUCAGCCAAGACUCGCAGCACCUGCCCGCGGAUCCAGGCCGGCUGGGCGGACCCGGAGGGAGGCUGCACUCACCUGGCACACCAAGCCUCCACGCACCUCCGGAGGGAGGCGGCACUUGCAGUUGCAGAAACUUAUAAAAACAUCCCCCUGUUCUCCGUUGAGAGUUAAGGAUAGUUUUUGAGACCAGAGAAAGAUAAAGGAAGGAGAGAUCACUAGAAAGAGAGGAAGAGAAGAAGUGGGAAGAAAAGGAGCUGCAGUCUACAAUGGAAGCCUCCAGGCUCCUUAGCCUCACCUUAAAAAGCCACAUCACCGCAGAGAUAGCAAAGAUCGUGCCCAUUCCCAGGGAGUUUCUACCGCCAGGCAUGAAGUCCACUAAUGCCAGCUUCAGAUUUGCAACUGAAUCAAAGUCUCUGAGUCGUCAUUACAAGGUUUUUCGGUGGGUGGGGGCAUGGAGAAGUGGACAAUAAGGAUGUAUUAAAGACACAGACAAGGUGUGGCAGGGGCAAAGUGGGGGGAGGUGUUACAAAGAAAGGAAGCUGAGAUGAAUCACCGCGUGCCAUGAAAAUACCAGGGUGAGUGGAUGUCGGAGUGUUUAACCAGAUUUGAAGCUGGAAGCAUCUUCCCCAGCGGGCAAACCCUAGGACGAGGCACAGCCACGCGACCCUCAGCCUUUGAACCCAGACCUGGCAGCUUAGGAGCACACUCCCUCUUCCCCAGGCAGCCACAGGCUCUGAGCUGAAAGGCAAGGUGGGGGUAGGGAUGAGAGGGCCCUGCAAAGAAGAAGCACAAUCAACAACUCAAAUAUGAACGGAAAUGACGUCAGCAAAGUGAAGGACCUGUUUACUGCAGAUCAAAACAAAACAAACUUCCAAACCUUUUGUGUACACAAGAGAACUCUAUAAAAAGCCUUCCUAAAAUGUCACCAGGGUCGACACAUCGGCAUCCUCACAAGAAAACGCAUGACAGUUACCAUGGGGGGAGGGGGGAGGAAAGGGACUGAAGGGAAG
rnacentral:lncRNA from 1 species